rnacentral:misc_RNA from 1 species
AACGCACGAGACCUGCGGACCUGCGGAAGGAUCAUUAAUGAGAAGCUGCCCCUCGCGGGUAGACCUCCCACCCUCUGUGAACUUACCUUUGUUGCUUUGGCAGGCCCGUCCUCUGGACCGCCGGCUUCGGCUGGCCCGUGCCUGCCAGAGGAUUCCAAACCCUGUCUGUCAGUGUUGUCUGAGUCUAUAUGAAAUCGUUAAAACUUUUAGCAAUGGAUCUCUAGAUCGGAAGAGCACACG